UUUUAAUAUUGUAACUAUUUUCCAAUUUAUUGCAAUUAUGAAUGCAUUGCCACAAAUUUCAAUGCCUUUUUUGUAUUAGUUCCUGAACAAUGUUCC